AUGACACCCUGGCUGAACCUCAUGUUCUUGUUAGUUGUCCUCAGAGGUGUCCAGUCUCAAGUCCAGUUGGUGGAGUCUGGAGGAGAUGUGAGAAGACCUGGAGAGUCCCUCCGUCUCUCCUGCCAAGCCUCCGGAUUCACCUUCAGCAGCUUUGAGAUGAGCUGGCUGAGACAGGCUCCUGGGAAAGUCCUGGAAUGGGUGGCACAUAUAUGGUCUUCAAAUCUUUACUACUCUGACAAAGUGAGGGGACGCUUCACCAUCUCCAGGGACAAUGACAAAAGCCAGCUGUAUUUGCAAAUGAACAGCCUCAAACCAGAGGACACAGCUUUCUAUUACUGUUUGAGAGACACUGUGAGAGGAAGCCGACCAAAAACUGCCCAUUUCACAGAGCAGCUCUGA